AGAGUUUGAUCCUGGCUCAGAUUGAACGCUGGCGGCAUGGCUAAAACAUGCAAGUCGAACGCGAAAUCACCUUCGGGUGAGAGUAGAGUGGCGAAAGGGCGAGUAAUGCGUUUCUAACGUGCCUCAGGGUCGAGGAUAGCCCAGGGAAACUUGGAUUAAUACUCGAUGACCCCGACAGGUCGCAUGACCCGUCGGGCAAAGGCUUGCUGUCCUGAGAUCGGGAAACGUGCUAUCAGCUUGUUGGUGAGGUAACAGCUCACCAAGGCUUAGACGGCUAGCGGGUGUGAGAGCAUGACCCGCCGCAUCGGGACUGAGACACUGCCCGGACUCCUACGGGAGGCUGCAGUAACGAAUCUUCCGCAAUGGGCGAAAGCCUGACGGAGCAAUGCCGCGUGUGGGAUGAAGCAUUUCGGUGUGUAAACCACUGUCAGGGGCUACCAACACAAUGAGGAACCCCAAAGGAAGGGCCGGCUAACUUCGUGCCAGCAGCCGCGGUAAUACGAAGGGCCCAAGCGUUAAUCGGAAUCACUGGGCUUAAAGGGUGCGUAGGCGGAUGUGCAAGUGUCUUGUGAAAUCCCACCGCUCAACGGUGGAAUGGCUGGGCAGACUGCAUACCUUGAGGUCGGUAGGGGCAGCCGGAACGCUAGGUGGAGCGGUGAAAUGCGUAGAUAUCUAGCGGAACGCCCAAGGAGAAGUCAGGCUGCUGGGCCGAUUCUGACGCUGAGGCACGAAAGCGUGGGUAGCGAACGGGAUUAGAUACCCCCGGUAGUCCACGCCCUAAACGAUGUGUACUAGAUGGUGAAGGGUUUGACGCCGGCACCAUCGAAGCUAAAGUGUUUAGUACACCGCCUGGGGAGUACGGUCGCAAGACUAAAACUCAAAGGAAUUGACGGGGGCUCACACAAGCGGUGGAGCAUGUGGCUUAAUUCGAAUCAACGCGAAGAACCUUAUCCAGGGUUUGACAUGUAUGGAUUAGCUCCUAGAAACAGGAGUAACGCGGCUUGCCGUGGAACAUACACAGGUGCUGCAUGGCUGUCGUCAGCUCGUGCUGUGAAGUGUCGGGUUAAGUCCCUUAACGAGCGAAACCCCUAUCGUUAGUUGCCAGCAGGCCUUCGGGCGCUGGGGACUCUAGCGAGACUGCCGGUGUCAAACCGGAGGAAGGUGGGGAUGACGUCAAGUCCUCAUGGCCUUUAUGCCCUGGGCUGCACGCGUGCUACAAUGCGGCGUACAGAGCGAAGCGAUACCGCAAGGUGGAGCAAAUCGCAAAAAGCGUCGCCCAGUUCAGAUUGUGGUCUGCAACUCGACCACAUGAAGUUGGAAUCGCUAGUAAUCGCGUAUCAGCUACGACGCGGUGAAUAAGUUCCUGAGCCUUGUACACACCGCCCGUCAAGUCACGGAAGCCGGGAGUGCCCGAAGUCGCACCGAUUCAGGUGUGCCUACGGCAAGCUCGGUGACUGGGACUAAGUCGUAACAAGGUA
rnacentral:rRNA from 1 species